GAUGAACGCUGGCGGCGUGCCUAAUACAUGCAAGUCGAGCGAACAGACGAGGAGCUUGCUCCUCUGACGUUAGCGGCGGACGGGUGAGUAACACGUGGAUAACCUACCUAUAAGACUGGGAUAACUUCGGGAAACCGGAGCUAAUACCGGAUAAUAUAUUGAACCGCAUGGUUCAAUAGUGAAAGGCGGUUUUGCUGUCACUUAUAGAUGGAUCCGCGCCGCAUUAGCUAGUUGGUAAGGUAACGGCUUACCAAGGCAACGAUGCGUAGCCGACCUGAGAGGGUGAUCGGCCACACUGGAACUGAGACACGGUCCAGACUCCUACGGGAGGCAGCAGUAGGGAAUCUUCCGCAAAGGGCGAAAGCCUGACGGAGCAACGCCGCGUGAGUGAUGAAGGUCUUCGGAUCGUAAAACUCUGUUAUUAGGGAAGAACAAAUGUGCAAGUAACUAUGCACGUCUUGACGGUACCUAAUCAGAAAGCCACGGCUAACUACGUG
rnacentral:rRNA from 1 species